rnacentral:rRNA from 1 species
UACGUAGGGUGCAAGCGUUGUCCGGAAUUAUUGGGCGUAAAGAGCUCGUAGGCGGCUUGUCGCGUCGAAUGUGAAAUCUCAGGGCUCAACUCUGACAUUGCAUUCGAUACGGGCAGGCUAGAGUUCGGUAGGGGAGACUGGAAUUCCUGGUGUAGCGGUGGAAUGCGCAGAUAUCAGGAGGAACACCGAUGGCGAAGGCAGGUCUCUGGGCCGCUACUGACGCUGAGAAGCGAAAGCAUGGGGAGCGAACAGG